CCUACGGGGGGCUGCAGUGGGGAAUAUUGGACAAUGGGCGAAAGCCUGAUCCAGCCAUGCCGCGUGUGUGAAGAAGGCCUUCGGGUUGUAAAGCACUUUCAGUGGGGAAGAAAGCCUUGGGGCUAAUACCCUCGAGGAAGGACAUCACCCACAGAAGAAGCACCGGCUAACUCCGUGCCAGCAGCCGCGGUAAUAUGGAGGGUGCGAGCGUUAAUCGGAAUUACUGGGCGUAAAGCGCGCGUAGGCGGUCUGAUAAGCCGGUUGUGAAAGCCCCGGGCUCAACCUGGGAACGGCAUCCGGAACUGUCAGGCUAGAGUGCAGGAGAGGAAGGUAGAAUUCCCGGUGUAGCGGUGAAAUGCGUAGAGAUCGGGAGGAAUACCAGUGGCGAAGGCGGCCUUCUGGACUGACACUGACGCUGAGGUGCGAAAGCGUGGGUAGCAAACAGGAUUAGAUACCCGGGUAGC
rnacentral:rRNA from 1 species